UAACCUCUCCUCACCGUCUCUGCUGCCCCCAGUUCAUCAAACCCCCUCUUUCUUCUGUUGAAAUGGAUUUCUAUAUUGAUAGAGAAAAGGAUGCGUUCUUUAUGCAUAUAGAGAGGCAGAUUUCACUUCUCAUGGCUGACGAAGAAGAGAGCGAAACAACCCCAUCUUUACCCACUGAGUGGGACUACGGUAUUAGUAUUUGCCACCGGAGGCAUUCAAACCCAUUGACACGAGAACGCCUUACAACGAAGCAGCCAGCAGCAGUUUUGUCGACAAUAGAGAGGAAGGGAACAGGAGUCUUUAUUCCCUGCCCCCUUGCUUAUACCGGUAGGGCUGAAAAAGCUUGGACUCUUGGUCAGAAAAGGAGGUUCGUGGAAAGAAGAUUUAAAGGUCGAGCUAUGAGAAAAUAAUUAGUGGCAUGCAGAAUUAUCUGGUGAUAUUUCUUGGAUGUUUGCACUCCAAUAGCGAGGGGCUUUUUGUUAUCUGUAUUCUAACAUUGUAUCACCUAUGUUCAGUAAUGCAUCAAUAAAGUGUCUUUGUAUUUCACUGUCAUAUUUAGAGCAUUAGAUCAAUGAAAGAUCAACACUUUGACUAGGUGUUCGUGGCU